UACGUAGGGGGCAAGCGUUAUCCGGAUUUACUGGGUGUAAAGGGAGCGUAGGUGGUUCGGUAAGUCAGAUGUGAAAGCCCGGGGCUCAACCCCGGGACUGCAUUUGAAACUAUCGGACUAGAGUGCGGGAGAGGUAAGUGGAAUUCCUAGUGUAGCGGUGAAAUGCGUAGAUAUUAGGAGGAACACCAGUGGCGAAGGCGGCUUACUGGACUGUAACCGACACUGAGGCUCGAAAGCGUGGGGAGCAAACAGG
rnacentral:rRNA from 1 species